rnacentral:rRNA from 1 species
UACGUAGGGGCCUAGCGUUGUCCGGAUUUAUUGGGCGUAAAGAGCGUGUAGGCGGUUGGGUAGGUCCGUUGUGAAAACUCGAGGCUCAACCUCGAGACGCCGAUGGAAACCCCCCAGCUAGAGUCCGGAAGAGGAGAGUGGAAUUCCUGGUGUAGCGGUGAAAUGCGCAGAUAUCAGGAAGAACACCCGUGGCUAAGGCGGCUCUCUAGUACGGUACUGACGCUGAGACGCGAAAGCGUGGGGAGCGAACAGG